CCUACGGGUGGCUGCAGUGAGGAAUAUUGGGCAAUGGACGAGAGUCUGAACCAGCCAAGUCGCGUGAAGGAUGACUGCCCUCUGGGUUGUAAACUUCUUUUAUAUGGGAAUAAAAUGUUCCACGUGUGGGAUUUUGUAUGUACCAUAUGAAUAAGGAUCGGCUAACUCCGUGCCAGCAGCCGCGGUAAUACGGAGGAUCCGAGCGUUAUCCGGAUUUAUUGGGUGUAAAGGGAGCGUAGGUGGAUUGUUAAGUCAGUUGUGAAAGUUUGCGGCUCAACCGUAAAAUUGCAGUUGAAACUGGCAGUCUUGAGUACAGUAGAGGUGGGCGGAAUUCGUGGUGUAGCGGUGAAAUGCUUAGAUAUCACGAAGAACUCCGAUUGCGAAGGCAGUUCACUGGACUGCAACUGACACUGAGGCUCGAAAGUGUGGGUAUCAAACAGGAUUAGAUACCCCGGUAGUC
rnacentral:rRNA from 1 species